rnacentral:rRNA from 1 species
UACGUAGGGACCAAGCGUUGUUCGGAUUUACUGGGCGUAAAGGGCGCGUAGGCGGCAAUUCAAGUCAGCUGUGAAAUCUCCGGGCUUAACUCGGAACGGUCAGCUGAUACUGCUUUGCUAGAGUGCGGAAGGGGCAAUCGGAAUUCUCGGUGUAGCGGUGAAAUGCGUAGAUAUCGAGAGGAACACCUGAGGUGAAGACGGGUUGCUGGGCCGACACUGACGCUGAGGCGCGAAAGCGUGGGUAGCAAACAGG